AGAGUUUGAUCAUGGCUCAGGAUGAACGCUAGCUACAGGCUUAACACAUGCAAGUCGAGGGGCAGCAUGUUGGUUGCUUGCAACCAACGAUGGCGACCGGCGCACGGGUGAGUAACGCGUAUCCAACCUACCCUUGUCCAUCGGAUAACCCGUCGAAAGGCGGCCUAACACGAUAUGCGGUUCACAGCAGGCAUCUAACGUGAACGAAAUGUGAAGGAGAAGGAUGGGGAUGCGUCUGAUUAGCUUGUUGGCGGGGUAACGCCACCAAGGCUACGAUCAGUAGGGGUUCUGAGAGGAACGGUCCCCCANAUUGGAACUGAGACACGGUACCAAACUCCGUACGGGAGCA
rnacentral:rRNA from 1 species